UCUGUGCGGUUGUCGGGAGAUUCACGGACUGAUGCGAUUCCCCGGCAGGUGAAUCUUGCCUUCUGCUAAAGUGGAGAACCCUGAACUUGUGGAGUGGUCAGAACCAGUUGCUGAGUUGCUUGAUUUGGAUCUGAAAGAAUGUGGUUGCAACUAGUGAAGUCAGUAUUUUGUUGGCAUUGGAUCCCUCAAAGAAUUUUCACAAAGAAUCAAUUCAG